GACGAACGCUGGCGGCGUGCUUAACACAUGCAAGUCGAACGGAAAGGCCCUGCUUUUGUGGGGUGCUCGAGUGGCGAACGGGUGAGUAACACGUGAGUAACCUGCCCUUGACUUUGGGAUAACUUCAGGAAACUGGGGCUAAUACCGGAUAGGAGCUCCUGCUGCAUGGUGGGGGAUGGAAAGUUUCGGCGGUUGGGGAUGGACUCGCGGCUUAUCAGCUUGUUGGUGGGGUAGUGGCUGACCAAGUCUUUGACGGGUAGCCGGCCUGAGAGGGUGACCGGCCACAUGGGGACUGAGAUACGGCCCAGACUCCUACGGGAGGCAGCAGUGGGGAAUAUUGCACAAUGGGCGGAAGCCUGAUGCAGCAACGCCGCGUGCGGGAUGACGGCCUUCGGGUGGUAAACCGCUUUCGCCUGUGACGAAGCGUGAGUGACGGUAAUGGGUAAAGAAGCACCGGCUAACUACGUG
rnacentral:rRNA from 1 species